rnacentral:lncRNA from 1 species
GUGCCCCUCAUGCUUGCCUUUCCUCCGACCCCCAGGUGAGAAGACAGGAGGGUGGAAUGAAAUGUCAGAGAUGAGCCUCCAAACACAUAAAUGCUCAAGAGAACCUGAAAAUUAGUUAGAAACCAUCUCACCCAUCCCAAUUGUUUAAUGUCAAAGGCUUCAGAGGCAUAGAUUCAAUCAACAAGGAAGAGGAAGCCAAGGAGUAAAUGAAUUAGAAGUCACACCUUGCCUGCCAUUUUUCUUCCUGGGGUGAGACAUAUCAUAAAACAUUUACAGUUUCUUUGGUGCUAGCAAUCAAUGUAAAGUGCCAUUUGUAUACAGCUCACAUCUUCCCAAACUAGGGGAAGCCCUGAAAAACCUUCCUAAUGUCAAGCAGUAAUUGCAUUUUUAUAACAUUAAUCACCUUUUAUCAUUACUUUUCAAUUUGUUGAGUCAAAUGCCACAUUUGCUAGCAUUAGGCUUCUGUACUGCCUCUGCAUUAAUUACACAGACAGAUUGAAUUUGUUACCAUGUUGUUAAGACCCAGCACAUAAAUAAAAAUAAGUGGACUUCCUUUCUCAAGGUUCUAAUAAUAGGUUAGGGCAAGACUCCGAUUAGUACUUGUCACAUCAUCCAAAGAGUAUGAUGAAAGCUUCUGGGGCAAUGGGGGGAAAUGGACUGUGAAUUCAGAAAUUAUUCCUGCCACCUGAGGCAGUUCCUGGUGCACUUGAAAGACAAGGGUGGGGCAGUCAUUACUAUAGCAGGGCAUCUGGCUGCUUUAGCUCUUUGGUUCCAGGCUUCUGGGGUGAAGAGCUUCACUGGUGACUUCUGUGUUAAGAAGAUGUUAGAAGGUUGGGACAAGGCGUUCCUGCCUGUCCCUGACAAAUGCAGACCUAUCACACCCAAUGUCUUAAUGCUGCUUCUGCCUCAAUUCUAGUUCCUUUGUUCUCCUUUCGCAGUUGUUUUCUGCUGUUGCUUUGGUAGCAUUUUAUGGGCCAUUCUGGACUAGGCAUGUUGCUGGAUGCUAUCAGAGUCAUAUUGUAUGGACACUCCAUCUUGUUCUGGGUAUACAGAACAGCUGCUUCACUGGCCAUUGGGAUGCAGGGAUACCUUUCGGCCCAGGCUACUUGUCAGUGGGUGACAAGGCAGGGGUUGCACAGGGAGGGACUGUUGCCCACCUUUCAUUGCCUGGAGGCAACCUUGCCUCACAAUUUCAUCAUUGACUUGGGUGAGACUGAUUUCAUCCAACAGACAGGAUUCAAGAUCCUUGCCAGCAUGUUGAAUCCGGACACAGGAUCCAGGGUGAAACAAGAUUGUUCCAAGAGUCCAGCACAGCAGGUAAACUUGCUUUAUGUUGCCUGUAUGCUUCCCUGCAGCCAAGCGCAUUUGCACAUCAACAGUAUUGCUUUGCAGCAGGGCUACCCAGUGACAUUAUCUUCAAAAGUACUUCAAGGCCAGUGGAACGCUGCGGGGAGCUCUGCUUUUUUAAAAAAUAUAUAAAAAAGCAAGAACAGGAAUAAAGAAAACCUCACAAAACUUAUUUAUGAAUUUCCUUGGCAAUGUUGAUUCUUUUACCAGCCCUAGCAAUAGUGAUUAGGGCGGGAGUUAGCAGAGAUUCGGGACUGCAUCAACUCAAUUUGCCUGGUCACCUUGCUGCGCAUCAGAACAUUUCAGCAUCCUUGGUAUGCUUUGGGAAAUGUUUGACCGCUGUGGAGGGCACUGAAAUCUAAGGCUAUGAUCUGGUUUCUGUCCCUUCUCCUUACACACUGUAUUUUUCAGCUGCAGGUUUUCAGCUGUCAAAGAAUCUGACAUCCCAGUUUUCAGAGCUCCACUGUGAGAGCAGUCUUGGGUGAGCCAGGAGCUGGGAACCAGGGGCUGUGGGGCAGAGCAGUAUUCAGGACCCAGGAGUAAGUCAGAACCCAAGGAGAAAGCAGAAGGGAGGCAGGAGUUGGAACCAAAAGGACAAAGGAGACAGGAGAAGGAGCAAGUCCAAUUUCAGGACUGAAGAACAACCAAGGACAUAGGAACAUGGCGGAGCUCAGGCACUGCCCAUACUCCUUUCUCUCUGGAAGGGUGGAAGGAUGGAGGCAGUCCAGGGCCUGAGGUACUUCACCACAAAGCAGCCAGCUGCAUUCCAUGGGGCAGCUGCACACAGAUCCCAGCAGCUCCUACAGUACCAUAUUGGCCUGAAUAUAAGCCGCAAUUCCCCCCCCCCAAUUCCGACAGUGAAAAGUUAAAGUGCGGUGUCAGGGAACUGCCAUCGGAAAGACAGGAGGUGGAAAGGCUCCCGGAGGUUGAGAGAGACUUAGCAGCUGGAGAGGGAACCAGCAGGGGGAGAGGAGGGGCUCCAGGGGAAAGUGAGUCGGAGGGAUGGCUCAGAGACACUUCCAGCGAAAACAGUGGGGAGGUUUCAAGACCUCCUAUAGGGACACCCACUCCUCGCCGGAAACUGUCACGCCGAGAGUCCAGAAGACGUGUUUCCGUUAAGGAGCUUUUAUGCUGGAAGAGAUUCCGUAAGAGACCACUUUCGGAUUCUGCUAGCGACUGACGCAGCCAUGCUGGAGGGGCUGUUGAGGAUCCAGACGACAUCUGAUGUAAUUGGGGGGGGGGGCUGUUUGCUUAUGAGCAUGUUGCUGGGUAUCAGUAGAAUGGCGGGCAUAAUGGUAGCACAGUAUUGUUUCAUGCCAGGAGUGGGGACCCCCGCACACAAGAUUCAAAUCACAAACUCAGCCAUGGAGUUUAUUGAGUGACCCAUAGGGGGAAACCGACUGUCUGAAGGCAUAUGGGGCAGUGCAAGAGUGGGGGCAGCAGUCCAUGCACACCACAGUGAGCUUCUUGAAGACAAUAAAUUGUUGUUGUUUAGUCUUUUAGUCGUGUCUGACUCUUCGUGAUCCCAUGGACCAGGCACUCCUGUCUUCCACUGCCUCCUGCAGUUUGGUCAAACUCAUGCUGGUAUCUUCGAGAACACUGUCCAACCAUCUCGUCCUCUGUCGUCCCCUUCUCCUUGUGCCCUCCAUCUUUCCUAACAUCAGGGUCUUUUCCAGGGAGUCUUCUCUUCUCAUGAGGUGGCCAAAGUAUUGGAGCCUCAGCUUCACGAUCUGACCUUCCAGUGAGCACUCAGGGCUGAUUUCCUUAAGAAUUGAUAGGUUUGAUCUUCUUGCAGUCUAUGGGACUCUCAAGAGUCUCCCCCAGCACCAUAAUUCAAAAGCAUCAAUUCGGUGGCUUAAAUAAGUAAAUAAAAUGUUUUGUUCCCAAAGUGAAGGAAAGAGAAAAGAGGGGUUGCUACUG